rnacentral:rRNA from 1 species
UGGGGAAUAUUGCACAAUGGGCUCAAGCCUGAUGCAGCCAUGCCGCUUGUAUGAAUAAGUCCUUCGGGUUGUAAAGUACUUUCAGUCUGGAGGAAGGUGGUAAGGUUAAUAACCUUAUCAAUUGACGUUACCGACAGAAGAAGCACCGGCUAACUCCGUGCCAGCAGCCGCGGUAAUACGGAGGGUGCAAGCGUUAAUCGGAAUUACUGGGCGUAAAGCGCACGCAGGCGGUUGAUUGAGUCAGAUGUGAAAUCCCCGGGCUUAACCCGGGAAUUGCAUCUGAUACUGGUAAGCUAGAGUCUUGUAGAGGGGGGUAGAAUUCCAUGUGUAGCGGUGAAAUGCGUAGAGAUGUGGAGGAAUAACGGUGGCGAAGGCGGCCCCCUGGACAAAGACUGACGCUCAGGUGCGAAAGCGUGGGGAGCAAACAGG